GAAAUGCGAUAAGUAGUGUGAAUUGCAGAAUUCAGUGAAUCAUCGAAUCUUUGAACGCACAUUGCGCCCCUUGGUAUUCCAUGGGGCAUGCCUGUUCGAGCGUCAUUUGUACCCUAAAGCUCUGCUUGGUGUUGGGUGUUUGUCCCGUCUCCGCGCGUGGACUCGCCCCAAAGUGAUUGGCAGCCGGCGUACUGGUCCCGGAGCGCAGCACAUGUCGCGCAAACGAGUGCCUUGGUACGGCGGCGUCCAUAAGCCCCUCUCUCACGCUCUUGACCUCGGAUCAGGUAGGGAUACCCGCUGAACUUAAGC
rnacentral:misc_RNA from 1 species